rnacentral:rRNA from 1 species
AAAGGAAUUGACGGGGGCCCGCACAAGCGGAGGAACAUGUGGUUUAAUUCGAUGAUACGCGAGGAACCUUACCCGGGCUUGAAAUGGAGUGGAAUAUUGGUGAAAGCCAAUAGUCAGCAAUGACCGCUUUGUAGGUGCUGCAUGGUUGUCGUCAGCUCGUGCCGUGAGGUGUCGGCUUAAGUGCCAUAACGAGCGCAACCCUUAUUGAUAGUUACUAGCGGGUCAAGCCGAGGACUCUAUCGAGACUGCCACCGUAAGGUGUGAGGAAGGUGGGGAUGACGUCAAAUCAGCACGGCCCUUACGUCCGGGGCGACACACGUGUUACAAUGGGGGGUACAGAGGGUUGCUACCUGGUGACAGGAUGCUAAUCUCAUAAAACCUCUCUCAGUUCGGAUCGGAGUCUGCAACUCGACUUCGUGAAGCUGGAUUCGCUAGUAAUCGCGCAUCAGCCAUGGCGCGGUGAAUACGUUCCCGGGCCUUGUACACACCGCCCGU